AAUCGAGCACCCCGAUGUUGUUCUGACUGUUUCCAUAGCUUAUAUUGUCUCAAAAUGCAUAUAAGCUCGUGAACAACAGGCAGGACAACUGGUCUUUUUGGUGUGCAUUUUGAU
rnacentral:pre_miRNA from 1 species